rnacentral:lncRNA from 1 species
CAGGUCAAGUCAACUGGAAAAGUCACAAUAGGUACAGUAUCACAGAUCUGCAGGUCAGAGUUUGGAAGCUGAAGCAGAAGCAGUUGAAGACUAGCCCUAGCCACAUGUCAAGGCUACCUGAGCUACAGGGCACACUGUGCUAAAGGACACUGGAAUGUUUGGGUGUUCCAGAACAGCAAGAAGAAGAGAAAGGAGCUUGCAGAGAAGAAACAAAAUCCCUGCACAUAAUUUUGUUGAUUGCUCUAAUGCAAGAGCUCACUCUUUAGCCCAGGAUGGCUGCAAAAUCGCGUCAAUCAUUCUGCCUCAUCCUUCUGAAUGGUGGGUUACAGUGUGUGAGAUGUUUCACUUGCCCUUACAUCUUCACUCAAACAUAAGAGUCCAAAUUUUAUGAAGUGUACAACAAUCAGAUGAAAACCAAUAAAAUCAGCCCUGAUCAUUGCAU